UUAGUGCGCUUCGGACUACUUGGCGAACAGAUCUCCGCUUUAUAGUGCCGUGUUGUGCAAUUAUAACUUGUAAAACAAAAAAUCAGACCUCAAGUAUAGAGCGAGGAGGUAUAUCUUUCGAUCGGUUUCCUAAAGAACCUAACGCCAGGGAACAAUGGAUUGACGUGACAGGUAAAGGAAACUGGAGACAAAGACGAGUAAUAUUUGCUCUAAACAUUUUACUGAAAAUGAUUUUAUCAUAAAAAAAAUCAGAAUACACUUAGUUUUGAAAAAUUCAUUCGCAAUUAAUAGCAAGCGCCAACUGCUUAACAAAUACGUUUUAUUCCAGCGACAGUGACUAUUUGUAAUUAAUAAAAGUAAAAUAGUUUUUUUUUUUCAAUAUUUAUUUCAUGUUUCAUUUUCUCCAUUCAUUCAUCAGAUAAUUUAUCGAUAAAGAAUAUCGAUUUUAUCAAGCACUAGCGUGUAUGAACAUUUUUAUUGCCUUUUUGCGUGUGUGAGUGUGUAUGCCUACGGGUGUUUUGUGCUAGUUUGCGAACGAAUAUCUGUCCUGAGAUUUAUGUGUGGGUGUUUUUGUUGUGUGCGAAAUACUUGUAAUCACAGUGUGUGUAUGUGUAGAAAUUAAAAUAGUGGGGAUGAAGCGGC